UCACCAUCCAUCUAUCACCAUCUAAAAAUUCAUCCACAUCUCAUCUCCAUCACUCUCUACAAAACUUACUAACCAUUUUCAUCUAUAGAGCGAAGAAUCAUCAAUUUUUAGAGAUUUUGGAUUUUAAAGCAUUGUAAGGGUUGAAGAAGAAGAAGAUUGUCAUUCCACAUUCAUCCAUUGAUUUGAAUUUGCAUUUUGGGGUGUAUUUUUCUUACUCUAUUUCAUUUUAGGGGGUGUUUGGCCUAGCUUAUUUACUGGGAUUAUUUCCUUUUUAGCUUAUGUUGGACUUAUAUAAGCUAGUUUUGAAAAACCAUUCAAACAAUGGUUUUUCAACACAACUUGUAAAACAUCCUUAUACCAUUGUAUCACUCAGCUUUCUUUUAUUUUCCCAUAUCCCACAAACCUAUCCAUCUACCUCCUUUUCUUUUUUCUCAGUUCUGUUCAUCCUCAUUGCUACACACAGAUUGAAAGCUUAUAAUUUGUGUUCUUGCGGUCAUCAUGGAUUCGGUAGACACGAAGGAGGUGAGUACUCUAGCGUACGCAGAGCCGGUCCUGCAUAUGGGCCAGAUGGGUGUAGGCCCAAGGCAGAGAAAACUUAGGAGGCAGCAGGCUAAUACUCUAGACUUCAAUACUUAUACAUUGUAGCCACGUUUCUCGACUUUUAAUCCUUUAAUUUUGUUAACCCCAUCAUAUGAAACAUAAGUAUAAACAAUUAAAUAAUUCAUAUUGGUCA